ensembl:lncRNA
CCCCCCUCCCAACGUUAAAGACAUAGGAAGAGAGAGGGAGAGGAUUGCGAAAGGCAAAGCUCACCUUGCCACUCUUUGGCAGCGUAACUUGGGACCGGAGGAUCGGUUUUUCUCCUAAUUUAGGCAUCCGCAACAAAUGCAGGAAAAAUCUAAUCGCAUGUGCCUGAGGAAGAUACUGUGGGAAACCAAACACCCCAAGAGAACCUGGAAUGAACUCCAAGAAGCCCCUGUGAUCAGGAAAUGAAUCCCAGCGCUGUCGUAGGGCGGCGGACGCCUGGUAACAUAAGUACCGGAGCCCUACCCGAUGAAGAACAUACUCGAGAAGGAUAAAAACUACGAAUCUGAGAUGCUUCAUAGCUAGAUGAGGAAUGAACCAGAAGAAAUCCAAGAAGGCCGCAGACAAGCUCUGACACCUUAAGGUCCAGGAACAAAACCUAAAACCAUUAGACAAAGGAAUAAAAAAUCCAAGAUCCCCAUAAGAUAGGGAAACACGCUGUAAGAACCUUGAAGGUCCAGGUACUAAUACUAAAGGCUUUAGAACCCAGGAACCUAAAAUCCAAGAAGCUCAGAAGAGGACAAACACACUUUAAGAGCCUCAAAGGUCCGGGCACAAACCAUCACGCCUUUAGCACCUAAGAACCAAACAUCUGAGAUGAGAAACACACUUUAAGAACCCUCUUGGAACUGAGACAACUGGCAGAAGGGCUGAGCAUGUGGGGGACGGUGAGACGGAGUUGGACAAAGACAGGAGUGUCUGCGCUGCACUCGGGAUGGGGGGGGCAGGUGAAGGUGGCGGGGGGGGGGGGGGGGGGGGCACUCAAUGGUGGCUUCGGAACACAACUUUACAAGCAAGCUGUGAACCUAUGGGAUGCCACAUCAUCGUCGUUAUUAUUGUUAUUAUUCAUAGCAUUAUUUAUAAAUAUUAUCACAACAUUCAAACAAGCUUUGGCCGUGGCGUUAAGAGCGGACCGCAGAGACAUUUGCAAGAGUAAAGAAAUCCCCAUUAUUCUACAAAAAAAAAAAAGCAAAACAAAACAAAGGCCAGGCCUUAAAGAUAGAGAGAGAUACGCAACAUCACUGGGUGGGUCGGGCUGAAAGAAUCACAUUCCUCCAUUUUCUAGACAUCUGUAAAAAAAAAAAGAAAGGUUUUGUGAUUGAGGUGUUAUCUGGAGGUGAGUGGAAAGACAAAAUACUACAAUGUCACUAUACAUUGUGUCGCUCUUCACCGCGGAGCCUUCGAGUUCGAUGGUUCUUUUUCAUUUUUUCACUUCUUUUUGUUUUUGGCUUUGAUUUGAGAGUCGAAAAAAAUGGCUGUGGAGCUUUCGAUUGGAAGCUCAGUCAGAGUCUUAAAGCUAGACAGUUGCACCGACGAGUCCGUUUCUGCAUCCUACUUGUGUUUAUUGAUUCCGGCCCGGCGUGCGAGAUGCGGCGCGCCCCCCCCCCCCC